CCUACGGGGGGCUGCAGUGGGGAAUAUUGCGCAAUGGGGGGAACCCUGACGCAGCAACGCCGCGUGAGCGAUGAAGGCCUUCGGGUCGUAAAGCUCUGUCUUAAGGGAUGAUAAUGACAGUACCUUAAGAGGAAGCCCCGGCUAACUACGUGCCAGCAGCCGCGGUAAUACGUAGGGGGCGAGCGUUGUCCGGAAUUACUGGGUGUAAAGGGCCCGUAGGCGGUUAUUUAAGUCAGCUGUGAAAGUCCAGGGCUUAACCCUGGAAUUGCAAUUGAAACUGAAUAACUUGAGAUAAGGAGAGGAGAGCGGAAUUCCUAGUGUAGCGGUGAAAUGCGUAGAUAUUAGGAAGAACACCAGUGGCGAAGGCGGCUCUCUGGCCUUACCCUGACGCUGAGGGGCGAAAGCGUGGGUAGCGAACAGGCUUAGAUACCCCAGUAGUC
rnacentral:rRNA from 1 species